rnacentral:misc_RNA from 1 species
GAAGAUGAUGAUAGGAAAGCGGGGUGAUGAUCAAUUUCAUAUGAUCAAAAUUUCUCCUUGCUGCGUUCUUUCUGAUUCACAUAUAACUUCUAUACAUCACUUUCUUUUUUAUAAAAAAAAAAUUUUAUUCGGUCACGUCGUCAAGAUGAUGAAAUCAGGAAAUCUUAGGACACCUUCUGACACAGUAGGAUGCUGUGUAUGAGAAAAAGAUUUUCGUUUCUGAUAUUU